GCUGAGGUAGCGAGUACUAGCGACUACCAGGACUGGCGGACCGGCCGUAACCAUUCUCUCUGUGCAAAGGAGUAAAAGCGUCGUGGAGCUUAUCAUACUGCAUUGCUCUAGUGAUCCUGAAAUUUGUCAUUUAUAUCUGGCUGGCUCUUUGUUGUGAGAAGUACCUCUCUGAUAUGCAAGGAAUGUUCGCUUAAUCGUGAUUUCGUUAGUGAGAUAGGUAUUGACGAUGGCUAAUAAUACGGCGACCAGUUUAAGCUUAACCCUACCGGCUGAACUGGUCGGUUAUAUUUCGUCCAUACCAGAAUUUGUGACCAGUUUUGUUGCAGCCAUGCCGGACUUUUUGACCAGGGUGGUAAAGUACAUCGCUGAAAUGGUGACCAGCUUCACCUUGGCAUUACCAGAGGUGUUUUCAAACCUGAAAACAACCAUACCAUACGCUUUCAGUAACUUGACAGCGUCCAUACCGUCGAUGUUUUCGAAUGUAACCUCUUCACUACCGGAAGUUUUCACCAACCUAACUUCGGCCUUGCCCUCACUGGUGACCGGACCAAAUUUGUCCUUACCAAUGUCGACGAAUUCGACUGAAUUUCAGCCACGAGAGACUUGAUAAACUUCAAGACUUCGUUAGUAACUUUUUUUUUUUUAUUUCCCUCGGGGUUGCAAGAUUUAAACUGGCUGAAACAAAGAAUUACAAUGAAAAUAGAGAGAGCACUUGGAGAGUAGCUAUUGACCUAUCAGCUGGUUGUUAGACCUGCAACCUAUGGACCUAUUAGCUGGUUGUUAGACCUAACUUAAGCAUUCU